AAAGAGAGCUAAGCGACAGCUGGGCCUUGGAGCUCCCCUCUCCUGCCCUCCUCACACACUACCAGAGCCUGAGCCAUUUUUAACAAUUAUCGUUGCCUUCCCCUGGCGACCUCACACUAACUCUUUCCAUACUAUUUAAGGGCUGCAGGCCUGGAAAUGACCUCCUGAAUCACUGAUCCCAGUCCCGUCUAAUUGGAGGCAACCGCAUCAUAUGAUCCCAGUCAGAAAUGCCUCAAAGUGAGAGGGUGGGAGAACAUGUAAUGAUUUCAUCCUUCCAAAUUCCAGAGGCAACACCCAAGCAUUUGUGGCAGAGAUUGUCUCUUGCUCAGACGCUGUGGGAAGGCUACCAUCGCCUGUUAACAAAAGGCAUUUGUGCUGAAAGGUGUGUUUGGUUUGCUUGCAGCUUUCUCGGCAGUGCAAAGUGAAAUGGGAUCUGAAUGGAGCAGCCACUCAUCUCUCCCACCAUGCAUGAAACAACUGCAUGAUGCAGUAAGAAGCAGCUUGCCAGGAGGCACCAGGAGAGCCUGCUAGGCCUCAGAGAGCGCUAUUGAAACAGAAGCUGGUGCAGUGUAAUGAUGAUUGGCAAGGUCCGGUGUAUGGUAACAGGGCCUAAUUUAAGCAUGAAUGUGCUAGCACCUCUGCUUUUGAAAGGCAAAUGGAUAUACAUAAUCUAUUUCCCUGAGCCAGGGUGGGGGGUUUACUCCUCAUUCUCCAUUAUCUUCCUUCUCUUGCUUCACUGUAGCUCUAGCAUGUGGCAACCUGCCCCUGAGUCUGCAGCAAUGCCAGGAGAGAGGACCUGGGCAGCCAGAUGUUCUGUCUCUGCAGGGUGCUGGUCUCUGAAUGUUUGUUUUUCUUUCUUUCUUGUCAUCUGAUCCUCCUGGCGGAAGAGUCGCACUGUGGGAUCAACCUCCUUAUUCACAGGGCAGCACAUCCUGCAAAGCACAUUUCCUACCAAAACAGGGAGUGGGGUAGAAGAAGCAAAAUGUGCCUAGGAUGGGAAUAAUUGGCAGUGGGAGAGAGACAGGUGAGUAGGUUUGCUUUGAUUUUGAGGGUUGGAUAGAGAAGCAGCCAAAACGAGAGGCAUAGGGCUGUUACACCAGCCUCUCUACAAAGCUUUGCAGCUGCUGGAGGCCUGGGUCACCUGGAUGCUGCUUAAAAAGUGCUCUUGGACACAGAUGAUAUAUGAGGGAGUCUGAAUACCGGCUAGAAGCAUGGAGGAAAAGGCAUGGAAAGUAGUCUGGAAAGAAGAGAAUGGAUACUUUCAAUAGCUCCUGACUAUAGAGUGUGGGCUCUUGCAAGAGUUGGACUCACCCAGGCAUAAUGCGGACCAGCAGCAUCUUCCACCGUGGUGUGGCAGAAACAAGCAAGAGGAGCCCUGGAUUUCUGGCCUUCCACAGAAACAACCCCCUUGUGUUGCUGCCUCCAAAGAAGCUGCCAAAAUACAAUGGAAAAUAUUCAGCUUAUGUUUACAAGAAAAUACUGGCCAUCCAGACACAUCUUCACUGUCAAAAAUGGAGCUAUUACAGACGUGGGAAAAGGUUCCCCCAUCCAAAGCCGAGACUGCCGAAGGCUGCCCGCUCUGAGAGUCAUGGUAGAGAUACUGGAAGAUGACCACAGUCUACCAUCUUCUUAAGGAGUGGUUCUAUUUAUUACAGUAUUUGAAAUGUGAGAUCCUGAGAUAAUGGCUCAGGGAUUGCUCAAGGGCAAGGGAUGCAUCGUCUCUGAGAAGACCACUUAUCUCCCCUCUUUCUGCAUCCUCCCUGGUAAGACAACAUCUUCUGGAAGGGGGCUUUUGUGCGCAUUGCCAAAAUUCAAUUUGUGAAUUGGUUCUUCUGAAGCGAAGAUGUUGAAUGAUGUAACCCAAAUUGCCAGUCAGCUGGGUAAAGCCUGUCAGUAUUCUGGAGCCUGGAAUGGAAUAAAGUUCAUGUACCUGCAUUCCUUCUGGUUGUAGCUCACUUAAGCAUUUGAAAUAUCCACUGAGUGAAUACUCUGGGGUUUAGAGGUCAGCAGUGCUA
ensembl:lncRNA